GACGAAGGGGGCUAGCGUUGCUCGGAAUCACUGGGCGUAAAGCGCACGUAGGCGGCUUACUAAGUCAGGGGUGAAAUCCUGGAGCUCAACUCCAGAACUGCCUUUGAUACUGGUGAGCUUGAGUCCGGAAGAGGUGAGUGGAACUGCGAGUGUAGAGGUGAAAUUCGUAGAUAUUCGCAAGAACACCAGUGGCGAAGGCGGCUCACUGGUCCGGUACUGACGCUGAGGUGCGAAAGCGUGGGGAGCAAACAGG
rnacentral:rRNA from 1 species